UGGGUUGUGGCUCAGUGGUAGAGCACUGAUCUCUCACAUGUGAGACCCUGGAUUCGAUCCUCAGCAACAUAU
rnacentral:tRNA from 1 species